GGGACCCCAGGUCAGGCGGGACCACCCGCUGAGUUUAAGC
rnacentral:rRNA from 1 species